GAAUGUGACACGGAAAGAUGAAGGCUUCUACAGGUGUGCGUCAGACAGCUGCAGAGUCCAGAGAGCUGGUUAUCAGUGAGACCGGACAGAGGUCAGCUGAACAUCAUCACUCUGCUGUGUGUUCUAUAGAAGUGGAUCAGUGUCACAUAUCAACUGUUGUUUCUUUUAGGAAACUUCACAUCAGAGGAGACUCCAGCCUCCACUGGUUCCUGGAAAUGGAUCAUUGCUUCAUGUGGGGUUCUACUUCUGAUCGUCAUUCCUUUGACUGUUUGGCUCGUUUGUCACUACAGUUACCAGAAGUUCUGCACUUGGAGCUGCUGGCCUGUUUCCAAACAGGAAGUUCCAGCAGGGGUGCUUCCUGCCACCAAGUUGGAUGUGACAGAGGUGCAGUGGGACCUGUCGUGGAUGGAGAUGUCCAACCUGUUGGAAAAGGAUUCUUAUUGUGGCACUUAAAGGGAAACUCUCUUCUGAAGCCCAGAGACUUAACUAUUGGGUCAAACCUAUGAGAAAGCUCAGUCAGUGCUGCAAUUUGUAGUAUUUUAUGGUCACAUGUCAAAAUAGUGCUACCUGAUAUAUUUUUGAAUUGAAUUAAAUGAGAUGUUUAGGAUUUAUAAGGAUGACUACAUUUGCUGAUGGUGCAGAUUUGACAGCUUCCAAUACAAAUGUUAUUGUUUCAGUUGUCACAUUUGUCAAUGUCAAUACUCUUGCACAUUUAAACGUCUCUCCUUUGAGUACAUUUUGAAACUAAGAAUCGUAUUUGUUAUAUCUUAUUAUCUAAUCAUUAAUAUAAUUGACUGUUCUAAAUCAUUUUACAUGUAUCAUUUCUCCUGUGUUUGUUCGAGGUUCCAUGUUGUUUGCUCCCUUUGAAUCGUUAUUUGCUAUUUCUUGUCGUCUGAAGUUAUAAAAGUCAUGGAAAUCGU